rnacentral:rRNA from 1 species
CACGUAGUUAGCCGUGGCUUAUUCAAGGGGUACCGUCUUCUACUCUUCCCCCUUAAAAGGAAGUUUACAACCCGAAAGCCUUCUUCCUUCACGCGGCGUUGCUGGGUCAGACUUGCGUCCAUUGCCCAAUAUUCCCCACUGCUGCCUCCCGUAGGAGUCUGGGCCGUAUCUCAGUCCCAAUGUGGCCGGCCAACCUCUCAGUCCGGCUACUGAUCGUCGCCUUGGUGGGCCGUUACCUCACCAACUAGCUAAUCAGACGCGAGGCCAUCUUCCAGCGAUAAAUCUUUGACAUCAAAGCCAUGCGACUUCAAUGCAUCAUGCGGUAUAGCAGUCGUUUCCAACUGUUGUCCCCCUCUGGAAGGCAGGUUCCUCACGCGUUACUCACCAGUCCGCCACUAAGCAUUCCCAUCCGUUGUCCGAAAACUCCUUCAGGGUGCUCCGUUCGACUUGCAUGCGUUAAGCACGCCGCCAGCCGUUCGUCCUGUACGCCACGGAUAC